rnacentral:RNase_P_RNA from 1 species
UGGGUCGGCAAGACGGUCGCGUCAUCCUUCGCACCGCGUCGCAAGACGCAGGGCGCUGUGAUGCCGAGGAACGUCCGGGCUCCGCAGAGCAGGGCGGUGGGUAACACCCACCCGGGGCAACCCGAGAGCAAGUGCAACAGAGAGCAGACCGCCACGUGCGCAAGCACGGGGUAAGGGUGAAACGGUGGUGUAAGAGACCACCAGGGGCCUGGGUGAUCAGGCUCGCUAGGUAAACCUCGCCCGGAGCAAGGUCAAGCAGGGAACGCUGAGGCGGCUCGCCGAGUUCCCGGGUAGACCGCUAGAGGGCUGCGGCAACGCAGUCCCGAGAUAGAUGACCGUCACCUGCGAAAGCAGGGACAGAACCCGGCGUAGCAGCCGGCCCAUUCC